rnacentral:rRNA from 1 species
AUUGAACGCUGGCGGCAUGCCUUACACAUGCAAGUCGAACGGCAGCGGACCUUCGGGUGCCGGCGAGUGGCGAACGGGGGAGUAAUAUAUCGGAACGUACCUUUCAGUGGGGGAUAACGUAGCGAAAGUUACGCUAAUACCGCAUAUUCUGUGAGCAGGAAAGCAGGGGAUCGCAAGACCUUGCGCUGAUUGAGCGGCCGAUAUCAGAUUAGCUAGUUGGUGAGGUAAAGGCUCACCAAGGCGACGAUCUGUAGCGGGUCUGAGAGGAUGAUCCGCCACACUGGAACUGAGACACGGUCCAGACUCCUACGGGAGGCAGCAGUGGGGAAUUUUGGACAAUGGGCGCAAGCCUGAUCCAGCCAUGCCGCGUGAGUGAAGAAGGCCUCGGUUGUAAGCUCUUUACCUACGGAGUGAUAAUAGACAGUACC